AACGAACGCUGGCGGCGUGCCUAACACAUGCAAGUCGAGCGGGAAAGUUCCCUUCGGGGAGCGAGUACAGCGGCGAACGGGUGAGUAACACGUAGGUAACCUACCCUGGAGAUCGGGAUAACCUGCCGAAAGGCGGGCUAAUACCGGAUAAGACCACGAGGGCUGCGGCCCUUGAGGAAAAAGAUGGCCUCUGCUUGCAAGCUAUCACUCUGGGGAUGGGCCUGCGCGCCAUUAGCAGUUGGUGAGGUAACGGCUCACCAAGGCUGAGAUGGCUAGCUGGUCUGAGAGGAUGGCCAGCCACACUGGGACUGAGACACGGCCCAGACUCCUACGGGAGGCAGCAGUGGGGAAUAUUGCGCAAUGGGCGAAAGCCUGACGCAGCGACGCCGCGUGGUGAUGAAGCCU
rnacentral:rRNA from 1 species